UACGGAGGGGGCUAGCGUUGUUCGGAAUUACUGGGCGUAAAGCGCGCGUAGGCGGACGAUUAAGUCGGGGGUGAAAUCCCGGGGCUCAACCCCGGAACUGCCUUCGAUACUGGACGUCUGGAGGACGAGAGAGGCGAGUGGAAUUCCGAGUGUAGAGGUGAAAUUCGUAGAUAUUCGGAGGAACACCAGUGGCGAAGGCGGCUCGCUGGCUCGCACCUGACGCUGAGGCGCGAAAGUGUGGGGAGCAAACAGG
rnacentral:rRNA from 1 species